rnacentral:tRNA from 1 species
UUAGGGAUUGAUAUAUCUGGCAUAUGUGGGGACUCUGACUCCGUUAGUCCUGGUUCGAAUCCAGGUCCCCCAGCCA